rnacentral:lncRNA from 10 species
GCUCUAUUCCAGAAGCAGUCUGGAGCACAAAGAAUCCCUAAUCACUGACAUUAAGAAAGAAGAAAAAUAUUCCUAGGACGAUCCUGGAGAGCAAAGGUCAUCAGCAGUCACUUGACUUUCCUUGGAUUUCUCAACUGCAGUAGUCACAUGGUCUGCUGAAAAUGAAUUCUCUUUAUUUUCAUCUGAUUUCAAGGAAUUAUGGUUUUCAGUGAUUUCUUCAUUUGGAUCUAUUUUGAGACAGAGUAAUAGCAUUAAAACCCCCUUCUGAAUUAAUAAGGUAACAUGGGCUUAAAAUCACUCAAUUCACUAUUGGAUUCUUUGGAGCUGUUAAUCUGUUCAGUGAAAAGAACAAGAACUUUGGAACUCAAGAUUUAACUAUGGUUCCAUCACUGACCUUGGGCAUUUGUUGCUGAAACGCAAAGUGUGACAAGCCAAUGGAGAGAAAGAAGAGACACAGACAUGCAGAGAAAACACAGGGAAGAAGGCCACAUGGGAUGAAGGCAGAGAAGGGAAUGAUGCAGCUACAAGCCAGCUA